AUGAGACAGUAUGGGAUCCAGUGCAUUGCUUCUCAUCUUGCUGAUGUCCUUCAUCCACUCUGGACUCAAUCAAGAUGCUGGAGUGAAACCUGUAAUGAAGGUGACGCCAGAUCAGCGUGUGUUCAGAGGAGAGACAGUCACUCUCACAUGUGACUUACAGGGAGGAGGAAACACUCAAUGGACAUACAGCUGGUUUAAAGAUGGAAACCCUUUCUAUCCAUACAAAACAACAACAGCAGAGUUCAGUUACACAUAUAACAGUGGUAAAUACAGCUGUAGAGGAGUGAGAUCAGACUCACAGACAAACAUCAGUGCUGCUGUUACACUGACUG